UUUUUUUUAAAAAAAGUCAGUUGUAAUGUAUAGAUAAUUGAUAAAUGUUCACACUGCAGCAUAUAAUCACCAAACAAUUCUCACAGAGCAGAAAACUUUUGGAUUUAGAGUUAGAGGUAGGGGUGUAUGUGUGUGUGUUUAUACACAUUACAUUGUUUGUAAGAGAGUGAAAUAAUAUUUUAAGUUAAAAGUUGUACUUAAAGGGAUAUAUGAGCUAAAAUAAGAAUAUUUCUGAAGUGUAUUUUUAAUGUAUUGAGGUAUUAUGGAGGUAGAAUUACUUAUCUUUGGGUGUUUUAUGUAGUGG
rnacentral:lncRNA from 1 species